GGGCCACGCCGCGGCGCGGCAAGAUGGCGUCACCCAUCGCCGCGGAAAGUGACGGAGUUCCGGGUGCGCUGCGCUGGUGUAGAGGUCGCUGAUGUACGAAUUGGGCGGCUGUCAUGCUGUAAGCGGUGGAAGGUAGAAGAAACAACUAUUUGUCAUCUUUAAAAUAAAUCAAAUGAAGUAUGGUUUGCAGCACAGUAGAAUCCCUCAUCUGAUAAACUGUGGUUUGCUUCAGCAAACACUGAGCAAAGAGGCAGCUCAGCCACCGGCCCUGCACCCAGCGCUGACAGGAACACUGCGGCAAGUGACGUCAGAGCAGCUGCGUGUCCUCAUCUGCAGGGCACGGCCUGCUGACGUGCAGCUCUCCUGUGCUGUCAGUCACGCGUGCUACAUUCCGACAGAAGAGGGCUUCCCAGCUUCACCUUCAGCGAGGCGGGUCCUGAGACGUGGGAGUAGGAGCUCCAAUGUGUUCUGAUCAAGCAAAGCAGCUUUGCAGCUGGGUAUUGUUGAGCCUACACAAGCUGGUCCGGUCAGUGACAGAGUCGCUACAUAGUUAAGAAUGUUGCAACACUGACUUGAAUGAUCUAAAGGUGAACUUCAGCCAGAGAGUUCUGAAAUGGAUUUCUGAGUCGUUUUUGUUUUGCUCUCUCUCUUCCUUUGAUAAGGGCCUUUUGCACUUUUUACGCUAAUACAAUGAAAAAUGCUGUCCUACAGAACCAUCUACUCCGGUUACAUGCUUGUUAUGAAUUUCUUUAAUCUGUAUGAAACUCCACAGCCCAUUUAGGCAGUAGUUCAGUCUUGAUACAUUGUGGCUGUAACUGCAGCAGAAAUGCUUGCAAAAGUGGCAGAUGCUGGGGACAGAUAAAUCCCAUGUUUCUUGCUGCUGACGAAGAAGAGAAUUAAGCUGAGGAGGAAAAGUCAUUGAUAAAGAGUCCAGUGUGAAAUACAGAAAAGGAAACAGCCUAGGCUUGUGGGACCUCAGAAAGGGAGUACUUUCCCUGAGCAGAGAUGUCUUACUAUCAAAUUCACUUGCUGUGACAGUAUUCUGCUCUUUAUGAACUCGAACAAUCUCUUUAGCAAUUAGUGAUAUAUAUUGAUAAAUAUUAAUAUGUACUGAUAAUGUAUUUAGUAAUUAUUGACAUAAUACUUAUAUCAGGGCAUAGAGAAUACUCAUAAGCCCUAUCAGAGGGUAGAUAAGUGCAGGAAAGCCUUAUGAAAUGGACAAGCUUUUGACUACUUAGCUAAUCAGGUUAUUUUCAUGAAGUGAGAACUUAAAUCACAGUGAAGAAGUUUCUUAUGUUGUAAUGGAAUGGGAAACUCUCCUAUAGAUGUAGAAUAAGGUGAUUGAAUUGAAGAUUAUUUUAUACUAUGUAAAUUCACAAACAAUUUCGUAUAAUUUCUACAUGUUUUUAUGGCAAGACUUUUAUGGCAAGACCUAACCCUAACCCUGGACAGCCUAGGUAGAGUAAUACAGAAGUUUGUUUUACAGCUAAAAAUACCACUUGAAUAUUGAAUAUUCCGUAAUGGCUCUGUCUGGACAACAUGGUAUCCAUCUGGACAACAUGGUAUCCAUCUACCAAAUAAAUAGACUAGUGGGAGGUAAAAUUCUAUUCACACUUGUCUAGGUACAUCAGAUGUUGCCAGUCAGCAUUAAUGGUUGCAUCUCAAAUACAUGCCUAAGUGCUGGGCUUUACAGCACUGUGUAACUUACAGAUGAUUUUAUAGGAAUAUUUUAUAUGUAUAUUAUGCUGCAUAUAUUCUGUUAGUGAUGGCAUCUUCCGUUUUUUUUUGUGACUGUAAGAGAUUGUAGGUCUCACAAUAGAGUCUGAGGUCAGUUAAAGUUGCUGCUUUAAUAUAUUCAUUGCUUUAACAGACUCCUAAGUUGGUUAACAGCUGUUCAGAAAAGCCAGUAUAUCCUGCCCGUGGUAAACCUUGCUUCAACGUUCGU